UUUACAAACGCACGCUCUGCAACGCUCAAUGGGAAGUGGUGGCGCAGCUUAAGCCGCCCAGGCUUGUGGUGGGCCUACUUCCAGUUCGUUCAUUUCCCCCGUCACAAGCUCGGUGUUUUCUUUGUUUGUAAACAGAGUUGUUGCCUUCUCCACCCUCCCCCCCCCUUGUUGUCAUGACGGGGCGCGCAUAGCCGAUGAUCCUCGAUGAAGAGCGAUCCCCACAGACGCUGCUGACUGCGAGUUUGCAGAUUGUGGCGCGUGCAUUCCCACGCUACUCCGGGGACGUGGAGCAGUUGCCACACAACCUCAAAACCAAACUCCUCUACCUGCUGGUCAAGCAAGGAGAGAUCACUGACCAGAACAUCGGCAAGUUUGUGAACCCUCAGGUGAAAAAGUUGAACUUCUCUCGGUGCAGAAUCACGGAUGAGUGCCUGAGGCAGCUGACUUCAUGCAAGCUCCUUCUCGUAUUAAUACUGAACAACACCAAUGUCACAUCCGAAGGAGUGGAGAUCUUAGCAGCGUGCUGCCCAUUGCUGCGGGACGUGGAAUUGUCGCAGUGCACAGAGCUCACCGACCGGGCAAUAAUAAAGCUGGCUGCAUCCUGCCCACAGCUAUGGAUCCUAAACCUGAGAGGAUGCCAUCGACUGGGCGAUGCCUCUCUUCACGCCUUGGGGCGUGCCUCCUCAUCCUUGCAGUUCAUUAACUUUGCUAAAACGCAGGUGACAGAUGAAGGUGUGAUUGCGCUGGUGAAUGGGGCAUGUUCCAAAUCCUUGGAGAGUGCGCUAUGCAUCGCUGCAUGUGCCUCUGCCUCUAGGAGGUGCACAUGGACCACUGCCCGAGUCUGACAGACAAGGCAGUGGAGGCUGUGCUCAAGUCCUGCCCACAAAUUAAAUACCUGCACUUCCACGAAUGUCCUCUCAUGACAGAGCAUUCAAGGGUCAUCUUGGACGAUUAUAUGCAAGCCCACAAUCACUUGCAGUCUGUGACCUGGACAGUGUACUGGAAUGAUCUAUAACUGCGGAAGCAGUGGUUUGUGGACCUGGAUUGUAUGUGUAAACAAGCUAUAUGUGGGAACACAUUCUAAAUCCAUUAUGUAGAUUUGUGUUUACUUAAUUCACUAUUAAAACAUGAAAGGGAGGCAUUUACAAGAAUAUACCAUCACGUUGACAACUGGUGUGUCAAAGAUACCGUGUAACACUGAUGUUUGGGGAUAUGUGUUACAACGACAUCGUAUUUAUAAAAGAGUGUUGUAGAAUAUUAGUUUUUUUAACUGUAAUUAAUGUUACAACCAUAUGUAAGCUUCAUCAUACUAUAAGUAAUUGGCAUGCCUUUUUAUAGACAACGGGCAUUUAAAGGGACUAAAUUGAAGAAAGUGAGUGACUUGUGUGGUAUUAUUUGUAAUGGUUAUUUUAUAACAAACAUGCUAGUUGCUGUUCUAAAACCUUAAAUUGUGGCUUGAGUAAAUAAUUGCUCAGUAUCAGGCGAGUCUGCUUCACACUAAGACCGGCCACUCAGCUGGGGAAUGUUGUAGCCUUAAAAAAAAUGUUCUUAGCCAAUGGACCACUUUCAACUGUGCCAUUCUUGGCGUGAUGUUUGCCAUUUCAUUCCACGAAAGUGGAGUUUGUGGAUGUACCCACUUCAGCUGGGUCCACCACUUACAUAAAAAAAUAUUUAGCAAUGUCAGGCUCUCAAAUACCUAAGCAAUGAAUUGAGAGACAUUUGUACAACACUAAUACAUAUGAUUUGAUUUGCUGAAUGCUUAACGUUUAAUAUUUGAUGUAUUUAUGCAUAUAGAUUAUUUUAUUUUAAAAGGUUUCAUGUUGCUGUGUGCUUAUCUGUGAUCUGUGUUAAAAGUUGACAUUCUUUGCUUUGUACAAAUUGAAGAUUUUUCACUGGAAGUUUUUUUUUAUCAACAACGUUUGUUGUGUUUAGUGUUGAUGUUUUUAUUUCAGAAACAAUGAAUAAAAUACAUUAUUAAA